rnacentral:lncRNA from 1 species
ACAGCAGUUACCUUUUAUAGGUUUCAUUUACUUACUACUACAGCUUAACCAAUAUAGUCUUGCGGUACAACUUAACAGCUCAAAUUAAAAUAACAAAACGGAAAUAUCUAAUUUAAAUCAUAUCCAUGCAAUCGGGUUGACAGGACCCGUUUGCGUUUGCGCUCCAGCCGACGAUCCGGCAUCCUCACGUUCUCCUCGCUUGGGGUUUCUCGAUCUCCAUUUCCUCCAGUCGACGAUUCCGGCGACAACAGCUCCAACUGUCGGUGAGCUUCUUCAAUAAUCUUCACUUUACAGGUAUCGUCUCUAUCAUCUCCCUCUUUCUUAGAUUCAACCUUGUCCUCAAGGUUAGAUGAAGAAUAUAAUUUCUUCAAAUUAUUUAUGUCUUCCCAGGAUGUUUCUUCUCUGUUCAGUCUUGUCCACCGCACCAGAGCUUCCUCGAUUUGUCUUCCUUUUCCCAGUAGUAUUCUGCGUUCAAUCACCUCUUCUGGAUAUAUCACCGGUUCAUUGUUCACAGCUAGUUCCGGCAUUGCUCCAAUCUCUUCAGGAGGUAUUUUACCUUUGUAUUUCUUUAACAUAUACACAUGAAAUACAUUAUGUAUUAGUGAAUUGCUAGGUAAUUGUACCUUGUAUGCGACCUUGCUGUUUUUUUUUCUAUUUGAUAUGGUCCAUAGAACCUAGUUGACAAUUUGUGAUGUAGUAUGUGGGCUAUUGAAAUCUGUCUAUAAGGUUUCAACUUCACAAAUACCCACUCCCCUUCAGUAAAUUCGAUGUUUUCUCUGUGACGAUCAGCUUGAAUUUUCAUCCUCUCCUUAGCCUUCUCCAUAUUCGUCUUCACCAAUUCUAAAAUUUCUUGUCUUCUCAAGGUUUCUUCUUCAGCUUAUAAGUUAGGGGAAUUUUCUUUGAUUACUUCAACAAAAGAGUUUGCCUCUUUACCAUAUAAUGCCAUGAAAGGAGUCAUUCCAAUUGAUAUAUUAAAUGUAGAAUUAUACCAUAAUUCCGCCCAAGGAAGAAGUUCUAACCAUCUCUUUGGAGCCUCAUGAACCAAGCAUCUUAAGAACAUCUCUAUUCCUUUGUUUGUAACUUCAGUUUACCCAUCUUUCUCUGGGUGGUAAACUGAUGAUAAUUUGAGUGUUGUUCCACUCAGCUUAUUUAAUUUUCUCUAGAACCCACUAGUGAACACUUUAUCUCUGUCAGAUAUAAUAGAUUAAGGAAUGCCAUGAAGUUUGAUUAUGUUAUCGACAAAACAACUUGCUACCAUCUUAGAAUUAUAAUUAGCGGGUAGAGCUCCCAAAUAACAAAAUUUUGUCAACCUGUCCACUACCACUACAAUUACUAACUUCCCUUUUACCACUGGUAAAUUUGUUAUGAAAUCAGUGGUGAGAUCCUCCCACACAGCCUCGGGUGUUGGAAGUGGCAUUAGAAGGCCUUGAGGCUUCCUUGCAAGUGUUUUCAUUUUUUGGCAUACUACACAAUUUUCUACAUAUGAUCUGAUUUCUUUUGCAAUCCCAUUUCACCAGAAUAUUAACCUUAUCCUCUUAAUGGUUCUCUCUAUGCCCGAGUGUCCCCCGAUGAUACUAUCAUGAUAUUCUCUUAAGAUAUCUUUGAUUAAAAUGAAAUUAGGAGAAAUCACAUAUCUGCCCUUUUUAAGGAGUAAGCUUUCUUUAAUAUUGAAUGUAUCAUUUUUUCUUUCCCACUUAAAAUAUUCUGUUUCAGAUCUAACAGUUCGGUACAUGUAGAUUGUUUUUCAAUUACUUUGGUUAUCAGCUCACUGAUUAAAAUACUUAAACUCAGGAUUGAUCCUUCAGACUAAGUGAGAUUUAAUUCAGAUUUUUCAAACUGUUUAGAUAGGAUUUGCAAGCAAAUUUUACGAUGAAGCAUAUGUAUAUUGAGUGAUUGAAAGGGGGAAGUAAACUAAGCAUCAACUCAAAUAAUGGAGUUAUUUGCACUUUCAAAUCUCAAUACAUCAACAUUAGUAAUACAAAUGUCAUCAGAGUUGAGAUAUAAUUAUCAAGGAAGGAUCUUUCUUCUGCGACGGGGUGUUUCUCUCUUUGCGUACAUUUUCUCCAGUUCAGUUAACUCCCGGCUUGAACCAUCAGGCAAGCUCACAAAUCUAAAGGCACUUCCACUUCUACAUUUGUCUCGUGGACCAAGCUUCUCAAAGGUUACAUUCCAUCCUUUUUCUGGUAUUCUCCUGCUAUAUUUAUGGUGAAAUACCUCACCAGCAAUCUGAGGAAGCAGCCAACAGUUUGGUCAGGGUAAUAAAAAACAAUGCAAGGCAGCUAUCUCACAUUACUUUGUAAUUUAUUAUCAGGUGAAAAUGAUUAUGAAAUUAAGAUGCCUAGUCCACUGGGUUUUGUACAGCUCAAAUGUACAAAGUGGGAAGUGGUUUCCCCUUACUCCAUUGGUGCCCUUUUGUGACAGCAUACAAUCAGAUCAUGUCGAAUCGUGCAACCAGAAAACCGACACCACAUUUAAUUUCAUAAAUCACUUAUAUAACCAACAUCUAGAAAAAUAGAUCAUUUUGUAAUAACUAAUGAUAUUGCAAACCUUAAAUUACUUAUAUAUCUAAUCCCAAUCCUAAAGACCUAGACACGUCCAAACAAUUGGUUCAUAUUGUUAGUUAUUCUGAAAAUCAAAUAAUUAAUUACAGAGAAAUUACUUAAGUUAAAAUACCAAUUACAAGUUUACAAUCAUCAAUGUGAAAAGCAGUAUACUAAAUAAUGAAAAACAGCACAUGAUAGGAAUGCCUUAAUGAAGAAAACAUCAUGCGGCCAAUGAUUGUCAUCUAGUCUUUUGAUUUCAUUUUUCUACUGGAUGAAUAAAAAACAGUUAAUGUCAGUGUGGAGGCAAUUAAUUUAAUCAAAAUUAUACUAAAGAAAAGUUCAAGGAGGUGAGGUGAGGUGACCAUGUCUUCUUACUUGAGUUUUUACUUGAUUAUUUUAGUGUUUGUUACGAUCACACUGGAUACCCAUGCUUGCAAGAGUGACAUGAAGACAGAGAUCCUUAGAAGAGAGAUGGAGGCAGCUCCAAGUAGAGAACGGGAUGAAGAAGUUAUCAUAGAGCCAACGGACAAGGAGGUUGCUGCUGAGAAAAAU